UGUAAUGUUCAAGCAACCUCUGCUUCACACACUCUAGAUAUUCUGACAACAAUCCUUUUUUAAGUAGUGGAACAGAAGCAAUAUGACCACCUCUCCCCCUGUUAAAAUGACUCAGUUAAGCAUUGUGUUCAAACCAAUCUGUAUUUUAUUAUCAGCCACGCAAGUUUAAGUUUGAAAAUCCAUGUAAUGUUGGGAGAGCCACAGCUUUUCACUGCCUUCCUCACCCUGACUAAAUAAGAGCAAUUUAAUUUUCCAUCAGUCACUUGUCACUUAAUGCAAAAAGACAAGGGAGAAAAUGCGUAAGACUUUAAAGAGGUUUACAUCGAUCAAUGACACAAAGUCGUCUUAUUCUGAUAUGCUCACAAAGCCCACCUGUGCAGACAGCUGCAUAAAAAUCAUCACUGAAAGUACUGACUGUUCUGGCUUCUAACUGCUCCAAUGGGUUUUAAGCACUUCAUGAGGAUUAAAAAAGCUGAGUCACUGGAGAAAAUAAAUAAUAAAAACAUAAAAUCAGGAGUAUACAGUAGGUUACAACAAGCUGCAGCUUUCCAUUAACUUCCUGUAUUGUCUUCAGCAUACAUUUCUCUGGAAUUACAAGUUAUUCAGCUACACUUCCACUUCAACAUAGUGAAGAAUCCCCAAAAUAAGCAGCCUCCCGGUAACUCUCCCACUUGGAAUGAAGCUGAAAGCUACAACAGCAAGAACAAAGCAGACACAGAGCUGAGGAGGAUCAAAAGAACAGCUGCACUGGGUCUUCGACGGAACGCAGCCUACCAACAACUGGGCGGACACCACGAAGUGAACCGGCUGACUGCCUCGCUCCUGCCCAGCCACAGCACCUGCUCAGACGUCUGCCGACAGUCACUCACUCACCCAUGGCAUAGCACGCCAGCCAAGAACAGGGUAUUACUUUGUACUCGCUGCUUCCUCUAAGGCUAAGGAUGUAGCUGCGAACAACGCCGGGAGGGCUGCGUUUCGUGGCAAUAAAGAGUGGUUGCAAUC